UCGGGAAUCUUGCGCAAUGGGCGAAAGCCUGACGCAGCAACGCCGUGUGAGUGACGAAGGCCUUCGGGUCGUAAAGCUCUGUUGUUGGGGACGAAGGGUUAGGGGUUAAUAGCCCCGAGCCUGACGGUACCCUUCGAGGAAGCCCCGGCUAACUACGUGCCAGCAGCCGCGGUAAUACGUAGGGGGCGAGCGUUGUCCGGAAUUAUUGGGCGUAAAGAGCGUGUAGGCGGCUCGGUAAGUCCGCCGUGAAAACCUGGGGCUCAACCCCGGGCGUGCGGUGGAUACUGCUGGGCUAGAGGGUGGUAGAGGCGAGUGGAAUUCCCGGUGUAGCGGUGAAAUGCGCAGAUAUCGGGAGGAACACCAGUAGCGAAGGCGGCUCGCUGGGCCACACCUGACGCUGAGACGCGAAAGCGUGGGGAGCAAACAGGAUUAGAUACCCUGGUAGUCCACGCCGUAAACGAUGGACACUAGGUGUGGGCGGAGUCGAAUCUGUCUGUGCCGAAGCCAACGCGUUAAGUGUCCCGCCUGGGGAGUACGGCC
rnacentral:rRNA from 1 species